rnacentral:rRNA from 1 species
UGCCAGCCGCCGCGGUAAUACGGAGGAUCCAAGCGUUAUCCGGAAUCAUUGGGUUUAAAGGGUCCGUCGGCGGUCUGGUAAGUCAGAGGUGAAAUCCUGCAGCUCAACUGUAGCAUUGCCUUUGAUACUGCCAGACUUGAGUUAUUGUGAAGUAGUUAGAAUGUGUAGUGUAGCGGUGAAAUGCAUAGAUAUUAGAAAGAACACCAGGGGCGAAAGCGCUCUACUGGACCAUUACUGACAACGCAGAGGAGAAAGCUAGGGUAGCAAAAGGGAUUAGAUA